rnacentral:tRNA from 1 species
GGCUACGUAGUGUAGAGGUUAUCACUCCGGAUUUUGAUCUUGAAGAAGGUUUGCAUCGUGAAAAUUCCGGCAACCUGAGUUCGAGUCUCAGCGUGGCCU